rnacentral:rRNA from 1 species
GGGCCCGCACAAGCGGUGGAGUAUGUGGUUUAAUUCGAUGCAACGCGAAGAACCUUACCAGGGUUUGACAUCCUGCGAAUUUCUGGGAAACCGGAAAGUGCCUUCGGGAGCGCAGUGACAGGUGGUGCAUGGCUGUCGUCAGCUCGUGUCGUGAGAUGUUGGGUUAAGUCCCGCAACGAGCGCAACCCACGUCUUUAGUUGCCAGCAUUUAGUUGGGCACUCUAGAGAGACCGCCGGUGAUAAACCGGAGGAAGGUGUGGAUGACGUCAAGUCAUCAUGCCCCUUACAUCCUGGGCUACACACGUACUACAAUGCUACGGACAAAGGGCAGCAAACUCGCGAGAGCUAGCA